rnacentral:rRNA from 1 species
AUUGAACGCUGGCGGCAGGCCUAACACAUGCAAGUCGAACGGUAACAGGGAUCAGCUUGCUGAUUCGCUGACGAGGGGCGGACGGGUGAGUAAUGUCUGGGAAACUGCCUGAUGGAGGGGGUUAACUACUGGAAACGGUAGCUAUUCCGGCAUAACGUCUCAAGAGCAAAGAUGGGGACCUUCGGGCCGCUUGCCAUCGGAUUUGACCAGGUGGCAUUAGCUAGUAGGUGGGGUAACGGCUUACCAAGGCGACGAUCCGUAGCUGGUCUGAGAGGGUGACCGGCCACACUGGAACUGAGACACGGUCCAGACUCCUACGGGAGGCAGCAGUGGGGAAUCUUCCACAAUGGGCGAAAGCCUGACGGAGCAACGCCGCGUGAGUGAUGAAGGUCUUCGGAUCGUAAAACUCUGUGAUUGGGGAAGAAGAAAUGUGUAAGAAACUAUGCACGUCUUGACGUUACCUAAGCAGAAAGCCACGGCUAACUCCGUG